UACGAGGGAUCCUAGCGUUGUUCGGAAUCAUUGGGCGUAAAGGGUGUGUAGGCGGCCAAGUAAGUCAGUUGUGAAAGCCCCGGGCUCAACCCGGGAAGUGCUUCUGAUACUGCUUGGCUUGAGUAUUGGAGAGGUGAGUGGAAUUACAGGUGUAGUGGUGAAAUACGUAGAUAUCUGGAGGAACACCGGCGGCGAAGGCGGCUCACUGGCCAUAUACUGACGCUGAAACACGAAAGCGUGGGUAGCAAACAGG
rnacentral:rRNA from 1 species